rnacentral:rRNA from 1 species
GUCCUUUAGAAGAAGAAUUUAAGGUUUAACCUGCCCGUUGAGGAAUUAAAUGGCCGCAGUAUUUUAACUGUGCAAAGGUAGCAUAAUCAUUAGUUUUUUAAUUGAAAGCUUGUAUGAAUGGUUGGACGAGAUAUAGACUGUCUUUAAUUUAAUAAUAGAAUUUAAUUUUUAAGUUAAAAAGCUUAAAUUUUUAUAAAAGACGAGAAGACCCUAUAAAUCUUUAUAUUUUUUUGUUUAUAAUAUUUUUGGAUGGUUAAUUUUUUUAGAUAAAAAUUUAUUUUAUUGGGGUAAUAAAAAGAUUAAAAAAAUUCUUUUUAAUAUUAGCAUUGAUUAGUGUUUUUUGUGAUCCAUUAUUAAUGAUUAUAAGAUUAAGUUACUUUAGGGAUAACAGCGUAAUUUUUUUUGAGAGUUCUUAUCGAUAAAAAAGUUUGCGACCUCGAUGUUGGAUUAAAAUUUAUUUUAGGUGUAGAAGUUUAAAUAUUUAGUCUGUUCGACUAUUGAAAUUUUAGA